rnacentral:rRNA from 1 species
GCCUUGAAUAGAAAUAAUUAUUUUGUUAUAUGUGUUUUUAAUUAAGUUUAUUUAAAAUAUUAAAAGAAAAAUCUUUGUGUUUUAUUAUUUUUGAAAGAAAAAAUUUUAUUUAUAAUAGAUUAUUAGUAUUGUGAAAGAAAUUUUUAAAAUGGGGUAAAGAAAAAUUUAAUUUUUGUACCUUGUGUAUCAGGGUUUAUUAAAAAAAAUAUUUCUAUAAAAUAUUUCUCGAAUUAAUAAGAUUUAUAAAUUUAUAAUUUUUAAUGUAGAAAAAUUAUUAAAAAUAAGUUUAUGGGGGUGAAAUGUUAGUCGUUUAUUAAUAUAUCUAGUUUUAAAGGAAAUAAAUUUAAUUUAUAAUUUUCAAAAAAUAAUUUUUAAGGGGUUAAUAAUUAUUUUUAAAAUUAAAUAAUUUAAGGGUUGAGCUUUAAAUUAAAUGGGUAGAAAUUAUUUAGAAAUUUAAAUAAAAAAUAGAAUUAGAAGUUUUUAUUAUCAUGUUUAAUAACUAAUUUAUUGGGGAUAAUUAUUUAUAUUUUAAAUCAAUUUACUUAUUUUACUUUAAUAUUUAUUUAAAUAAUAGAAAUAAAGAAAUAAUGAUAAAAUUAGUAAGGAGAAAAAAUAAUUUUUAUUAUAAAUUUAAUAUAAGAAAAAGAUUAAGUUAAGGAAUUCGGCAAUUUUAUUUUUCACCUGUUUAUUAAAAACAUGUCUUUCAGGUAAUAUAAUUGAAGGUCGGGCCUGCCCAGUGAUAAAAUUUAACGGCCGCGGUAUUUUGACUGUGCUAAGGUAGCAUAAUCAUUAGUUUUUUAAUUGAAAGCUGGAAUGAAAGGUUUGAUGAAAAAAUAACUGUCUCAAUUUAAAUGUUUUGAAUUUUAUUUUUAAGUUAAAAAGCUUAAAUUUUUAUAAAAGACGAGAAGACCCUAUAGAGUUUUAUAUUUUAUUUAUAAGAUUAAAAUAUGGAAAUUUAAAUUUAUUUUAUUUUAAAAUAUUUAAUUGGGGUGAUUGAAAAAUUUAAUUAACUUUUUUUAAUUAAGUUCAUAGAUAAGUGGAAAUAUAUGAUCCUUUUUUUAAGAUUAAAAGAAAAAUUACCUUAGGGAUAACAGCGUAAUUUUUUCUUAGAGUUCUAAUCGAAGAAAAAGUUUGCGACCUCGAUGUUGGAUUAAAAUUAAUUUUUGGUGUAGAAGCUAAAAAAUUAGGUCUGUUCGACCUUUGAAAUUUUACAUGAUCUGAGUUUAAACCGGCGUGAGCCAGGUUGGUUUCUAUCUUUAUAAAAUUAAAAUAUUUUAGUACGAAAGGACCAAGUAUUUCUUUUAAAAAGUUAAAAUUUGAAUAAUUUUAAAUUAGGCAAAAAUUAGAUCUAAAAGUGAAGU